rnacentral:rRNA from 1 species
GACAUGACUCUCGGCAACGGAUAUCUCGGCUCUCGCAUCGAUGAAGAACGUAGCAAAAUGCGAUACCUGGUGUGAAUUGCAGAAUCCCGUGAACCAUCGAGUUUUUGAACGCAAGUUGCGCCCGAGGCCUUUUGGUCGAGGGCACGUCUGCCUGGGCGUCACGC